CUAAGGCCUUGUUAGCACUAAGCAUUUGGCCCAAAAUUCUCUGUGUGGGAACUUGCCUGGGCAGCCCCUCCCCAUGCUGCCACAGCAGAAGCAGAUGGCCAUCUUGGAGAAGGUCAGAAGUCUGGGACUUGGACAGGUUGAGAGUUCUGCGUGCCAGGCUGAAUUGCUUGUAAUUAAAACGUGCCCCUCCUCCUCUUCCGCACUCCUGAACUCAUCUGCGGAACCAGCAGCGGUGAAUCAUGCAUAGAAGCAGAUCUGUCCCUGAAAGCGAAAGCUGCCUGUGAAGUCAGGGGCGCAGAGUUGAGAUGUCCAGAAAGCUAGUGGGCCUCGAGUGAGCAAUUUAACCCUCCCCUUGGGUGUUUCCUGGUUUUCAGGGCAGUGGACCACAAUCUGGGUGCUGCUUGUGAGUUGGAGCUGGGGGUUUCUCUGUGGCUUUGGAGGCUGUCCUGGAACUCACUUUGUAGACCAGGCUGGCAAUGGUGACUUUUUAAAAGAAACUGAACCCUGCAGGUGAUUGGAUGAAGAGGGGAACCUUCUGCAGGUGGUUCCAUAACAUAAGUAUCUCUUAACGGAGACUGAUGCCCUUAUAGAGGAAGCCGAGAGAAGCCUCUUCAGUCCUUCACCUUUUGAGUAGUAGUGAGAAUAGACUAGCCCUCGGGGCCUUUAAUCUGGUGAUGCCUUAAUUUGAGAACUCUUAUAAACAGUAAGCUUCUGUUAUAGAUUCCCAUUCGAUAACGUUUGCUGCUUUAAUAAAAGACAAAUUGGUGAAGAUACA